CUGCAGUCUGUGUCACCCUGCAGUGGGAGGGACAGACUCCGUGUCCCAUAGCUCCUUCUGUCUGUGUCACCCUGCAGCGGGAGGAACAGACUCAGUGUCCCAUAGCUCCCUUCUGUCUGUCACACCCUGCAGUGGGAGGGACAGACUCCGUGUCCCAUAGCUCCUUCUGUCUGUGUCACCCUGCAGUGGGAGGGACAGAUUCCAUGUCCCAUAGCUCCUUCUGUCUGUGUCACCCUGCAGUGGGAGGGACAGAUUCCGUGUCCCAUAGCUCCUUCUGUCUGUGUAACCCUGCAGUGGGAGGGACAGACUCCGUGUCCCAUAGCUCCUUCUGUCUGUGUCACCCUGCAGUGGGAGGGACAGACUCCGUGUCCCAUAGCUCCUUCUGUCUGUGUUACCCUGCAGUGGGAGGGACAGACUCUGUGUCCCAUAGCUUCUUCUGUCUGUGUCACCCUGCAGUGGGAGGGACAGACUCUGUGUCCCAUAGCUCCUUCUGUCUGUGUCACCCUGCAGUGGGAGGGACAGACUGUGUGUACCAUAGCUCCUUCUGUCUGUGUCACCCUGCAGUGGGAGGGACAGACUGUGUGUACCAUAGCUCCUUCUGUCUGUGUCACCCUGCAGUGGGAGGGACAGACUCUGUGUCCCAUAGCUCCUUCUGUCUGUGUCACCCUGCAGUGGGAGGGACAGACUCCGUGUCCCAUAGCUCCUUCUGUCUGUGUCACACUGCAACGGGAGGGACAGACUCUGUGUCCCAUAGCUCCUUCUGUCUGUGUCACACUGCAACGGGAGGGACAUACUCCGUGUCCCAUAGCUCCCUUCUGUCUGUGUCACCCUGCAGUGGGAGGGACAGACUCCGUGUCCCAUAGCUCCUUCUGUCUGUGUCACCCUGCAGUGGGAGGGACAGACUCAGUGUCCAAUAGAUCCUUCCGUCUGUGUCACCCUGCAGUGGGAGGGACAGACUCCGUGUCCCAUAGCUCCUUCUGUCUGUGUCACCCUGCAGUGGGAGAGACAGACUCCGUGUCCCAUAGCUCCCUUCUGUCUGUGUCACCCUGCAGUGGGAGAGACAGACUCCGUGUCCCAUAGCUCCCUUCUGUCUGUGUCACCCUGCAGUGGGAGGGACAGACUCCGUGUCCUAUAGCUCCUUCUGUCUGUGUCACCCUGCAGUGGGAGAGACAGACUCCGUGUCAUUUUGUCGUUGGUGUUCUCUAGCUCUUUUCUGCCCAUGUCACCAUAUGUUUUUUCAGAUGACACCCUAUUUUAGCAGAGUUUACUGCCCUCUCUCCUCUCUCUCCAGGCUGCCUGUGCUCUGCAGGAGGUUCUCUCUGUGCCAGAAUCCGCUCCGGCUGUGAUGGAACACUACUCCCAGCUCUUCACGGCACUCCUUCUCCGUAUCAGCUCUAUGGUUGGUGUCCAGUUACCCAAAAACCUGGGCGGCUCCAAGGACAGGAAGAACUCCUCGCAACGCAGUCUGGACCCCUGCAGGUAUG